GGGAUUGUGGCUCCAUGGUAGAGCGCUCACCUAGCACGUGUGAGGCCCUGGGUUCGAUCCUCAGCACCA
rfam:Ictidomys tridecemlineatus contig091961, whole genome shotgun sequence.